rnacentral:rRNA from 1 species
CGAACGGGUGAGUAACGCGUAAUCAACCUGCCCUUUCAGAGGGGGACAACAGUUGGAAACGACUGCUAAUACCGCAUACGAUCUAAUCUCGGCAUCGAGGAUAGAUGAAAGGUGGCCUCUACAUGUAAGCUAUCACUGAAGGAGGGGAUUGCGUCUGAUUAGCUAGUUGGAGGGGUAACGGCCCACCAAGGCGAUGAUCAGUAGCCGGUCUGAGAGGAUGAACGGCCACGUUGGGACUGAGACACGGCCCAGACUCCUACGGGAGGCAGCAGUGGGGAAUCUUCCGCAAUGGACGAAAGUCUGACGGAGCAACGCCGCGUGAGUGAUGACGGCCUUCGGGUUGUAAAGCUCUGUUAAUCGGGACGAAAGGCCUUCUUGCG